UUAAGUUAUUAAGGGCGCACGGUGGAUGCCUUGGCACUAGAAGCCGAUGAAGGACGUUACUAACGACGAUAUGCUUUGGGGAGCUGUAAGUAAGCUUUGAUCCAGAGAUUUCCGAAUGGGGAAACCCAGCAUGAGUUAUGUCAUGUUAUCGAUAUGUGAAUACAUAGCAUAUCAGAAGGCACACCCGGAGAACUGAAACAUCUUAGUACCCGGAGGAAGAGAAAGAAAAUUCGAUUCCCUUAGUAGCGGCGAGCGAAACGGGAAGAGCCCAAACCAACAAGCUUGCUUGUUGGGGUUGUAGGACACUCUGUACGGAGUUACAAAGGACGACAUUAGACGAAUCAUCUGGAAAGAUGAAUCAAAGAAGGUAAUAAUCCUGUAGUCGAAAAUGUUGUCUCUCUUGAGUGGAUCCUGAGUACGACGGAGCACGUGAAAUUCCGUCGGAAUCUGGGAGGACCAUCUCCUAAGGCUAAAUACUCUCUAGUGACCGAUAGUGAACCAGUACCGUGAGGGAAAGGUGAAAAGCACCCCGGAAGGGGAGUGAAAUAGAACCUGAAACCGUGUGCUUACAAGUAGUCAGAGCCCGUUAAUGGGUGAUGGCGUGCCUUUUGUAGAAUGAACCGGCGAGUUACGAUUUGAUGCAAGGUUAAGCAGUAAAUGUGGAGCCGUAGCGAAAGCGAGUCUGAAUAGGGCGUUUAGUAUUUGGUCGUAGACCCGAAACCAGGUGAUCUACCCUUGGUCAGGUUGAAGUUCAGGUAACACUGAAUGGAGGACCGAACCGACUUACGUUGAAAAGUGAGCGGAUGAACUGAGGGUAGCGGAGAAAUUCCAAUCGAACCUGGAGAUAGCUGGUUCUCUCCGAAAUAGCUUUAGGGCUAGCCUCAAGUGAUGAUUAUUGGAGGUAGAGCACUGUUUGGACGAGGGGCCCCUCUCGGGUUACCGAAUUCAGACAAACUCCGAAUGCCAAUUAAUUUAACUUGGGAGUCAGAACAUGGGUGAUAAGGUCCGUGUUCGAAAGGGAAACAGCCCAGACCACCAGCUAAGGUCCCAAAAUAUAUGUUAAGUGGAAAAGGAUGUGGCGUUGCCCAGACAACUAGGAUGUUGGCUUAGAAGCAGCCAUCAUUUAAAGAGUGCGUAAUAGCUCACUAGUCGAGUGACACUGCGCCGAAAAUGUACCGGGGCUAAACAUAUUACCGAAGCUGUGGAUUGUCCUUUGGACAAUGGUAGGAGAGCGUUCUAAGGGCGUUGAAGCAUGAUCGUAAGGACAUGUGGAGCGCUUAGAAGUGAGAAUGCCGGUGUGAGUAGCGAAAGACGGGUGAGAAUCCCGUCCACCGAUUGACUAAGGUUUCCAGAGGAAGGCUCGUCCGCUCUGGGUUAGUCGGGUCCUAAGCUGAGGCCGACAGGCGUAGGCGAUGGAUAACAGGUUGAUAUUCCUGUACCACCUAUAAUCGUUUUAAUCGAUGGGGGGACGCAGUAGGAUAGGCGAAGCGUGCGAUUGGAUUGCACGUCUAAGCAGUAAGGCUGAGUAUUAGGCAAAUCCGGUACUCGUUAAGGCUGAGCUGUGAUGGGGAGAAGACAUUGUGUCUUCGAGUCGUUGAUUUCACACUGCCGAGAAAAGCCUCUAGAUAGAAAAUAGGUGCCCGUACCGCAAACCGACACAGGUAGUCAAGAUGAGAAUUCUAAGGUGAGCGAGCGAACUCUCGUUAAGGAACUCGGCAAAAUGACCCCGUAACUUCGGGAGAAGGGGUGCUCUUUAGGGUUAACGCCCAGAAGAGCCGCAGUGAAUAGGCCCAAGCGACUGUUUAUCAAAAACACAGGUCUCUGCUAAACCGUAAGGUGAUGUAUAGGGGCUGACGCCUGCCCGGUGCUGGAAGGUUAAGAGGAGUGGUUAGCUUCUGCGAAGCUACGAAUCGAAGCCCCAGUAAACGGCGGCCGUAACUAUAACGGUCCUAAGGUAGCGAAAUUCCUUGUCGGGUAAGUUCCGACCCGCACGAAAGGCGUAACGAUUUGGGCACUGUCUCAACGAGAGACUCGGUGAAAUCAUAGUACCUGUGAAGAUGCAGGUUACCCGCGACAGGACGGAAAGACCCCGUGGAGCUUUACUGUAGCCUGAUAUUGAAAUUCGGCACAGCUUGUACAGGAUAGGUAGGAGCCUUUGAAACGUGAGCGCUAGCUUACGUGGAGGCGCUGGUGGGAUACUACCCUAGCUGUGUUGGCUUUCUAACCCGCACCACUUAUCGUGGUGGGAGACAGUGUCAGGCGGGCAGUUUGACUGGGGCGGUCGCCUCCUAAAAGGUAACGGAGGCGCUCAAAGGUUCCCUCAGAAUGGUUGGAAAUCAUUCAUAGAGUGUAAAGGCAUAAGGGAGCUUGACUGCGAGACCUACAAGUCGAGCAGGGUCGAAAGACGGACUUAGUGAUCCGGUGGUUCCGCAUGGAAGGGCCAUCGCUCAACGGAUAAAAGCUACCCCGGGGAUAACAGGCUUAUCUCCCCCAAGAGUUCACAUCGACGGGGAGGUUUGGCACCUCGAUGUCGGCUCAUCGCAUCCUGGGGCUGUAGUCGGUCCCAAGGGUUGGGCUGUUCGCCCAUUAAAGCGGUACGCGAGCUGGGUUCAGAACGUCGUGAGACAGUUCGGUCCCUAUCCGUCGUGGGCGUAGGAAAUUUGAGAGGAGCUGUCCUUAGUACGAGAGGACCGGGAUGGACAUACCUCUGGUGUACCAGUUGUCGUGCCAACGGCAUAGCUGGGUAGCUAUGUGUGGACGGGAUAAGUGCUGAAAGCAUCUAAGCAUGAAGCCCCCCUCAAGAUGAGAUUUCCCAACUUCGGUUAUAAGAUCCCUCAAAGAUGAUGAGGUUAAUAGGUUCGAGGUGGAAGCAUGGUGACAUGUGGAGCUGACGAAUACUAAUCGAUCGAAGACUUAAUC
rnacentral:rRNA from 1 species